AUUGAACGCUGGCGGCAGGCCUAACACAUGCAAGUCGAGCGAGCGGCGGACGGGUGAGUAAUGUCUGGGAACCUGCCUGCUGGAGGGGGAUAAGUACUGGAAACGGUAGCUAAUACCGCAUACGAUCAGAUGUGCCCAGAUGGGCUUAGCUUGUAGGUGGGGUAAUGGCUCACCUAGGCGACGAUCCCUAGCUGGUCUGAGAGGCUGACCAGCCACACUGGAACGGAGACACGGUCCAGAGUCCUACGGGAGGCAGCAGUGGGGAAUAUUGCACAAUGGGCGCAAGUCUGAUGCAGCCAUGCCGCGUGUGUGAAGAAGGCCUUCGGGUUGUAAAGCACUUUCAGCGGGGAGGCGUUACCCGCAGAAGAAGCACCGGCUAACUCCGUGCCAGCAGCCGCGGUAAUUC
rnacentral:rRNA from 1 species